AAAUAAUUAGUGGGAAAGUUAGUGCAGAUUACACAGCAAACCAAGAAGCUUAGUUUCUUCUGGGUAAAGCUAGUGUUUUGUACGAUAAGGGAAGAAUCCUUGAAUUGGUUGACAAGAAAUUGGCAUCCAGUUACAACAGAAAGCAGGCUCUCACUGUUUUGCUGUUAGCAAUGAAGUGUGUUAAUCUGUCUCCUACUCUCAGGCCUAAAAUGUCCGAAGUCGUCAGUGUACUUGUAGGUGAGAAAAGAAUCGAUGAGAUUUCCGAAGGUGAUGCUCCAUCAGCAAAAAUUGUCCUUCCAGGGUGUUGGAAAUAGAACCAAUUUCUUAGCCAAUUGGUAACGUUAAGUUUGGUGAUGAAAAACUUCUCCCUCUUUUUUAUUUUGUAAUUA